rnacentral:rRNA from 1 species
GAUGAACGCUGGCUACAGGCUUAACACAUGCAAGUCGUGGGGAAACGGCAUUAUGUGCUUGCACAUUCUGGACGUCGACCGGCGCACGGGUGAGUAUCGCGUAUCCAACCUGCCCCUUACUUGGGGAUACCCCGUUGAAAGACGGCCUAAUACCCGAUGUGUUUCAUUGACGGCAUCCGAUAUGAAACAAAGGUUUUCCGGUAAGGGAUGGGGAUGCGUCUGAUUAGCUUGUUGGCGGGGCAACGGCCCACCAAGGCGACGAUCAGUAGGGGUUCUGAGAGGAAGGUCCCCCACAUUGGAACUGAGACACGGUCCAAACUCCUACGGGAGGCAGCAGUGAGGAAUAUUGGUCAAUGGACGCAAGUCUGAACCAGCCAAGUAGCGUGCAGGAUGACGGCCCUAUGGGUUGUAAACUGCUUUUAUGUGGGAAUAAAGUGGCGCACGUGUGCGCCAUUGCAUGUACCUCAUGAAUAAGGACCGGCUAAUUCCGUGCCAGCAGCCGCGGUAAUACGGAAGGUCCGGGCGUUAUCCGGAUUUAUUGGGUUUAAAGGGAGUGUAGGCGGUCUGUUAAGCGUGUUGUGAAAUUUAGGUGCUCAACAUUUAACUUGCAGCGCGAACUGUCAGACUUGAGUACACGCAGCGCAGGCGGAAUUCAUGGUGUAGCGGUGAAAUGCUUAGAUAUCAUGAGGAACUCCUAUCGCGAAGGCAGCCUGCGGGAGUGUUACUGACGCUUAAGCUCGAAGGUGCGGGUAUCGAACAGG